UACGGAGGGGGCUAGCGUUGUCCGGAUUUAUUGGGCGUAAAGAGCGUGUAGGCGGCCAGGUAGGUCCGGUGUGAAAACUCGAGGCUUAACCUCGAGAUGUCAUCGGAAACCAUCUGGCUAGAGUCCGGAAGAGGAAAGUGGAAUUCCUAGUGUAGAGGUGAAAUUCGUAGAUAUUAGGAAGAACACCAGUGGCGAAGGCGGCUCACUGGCUCGGUACUGACGCUGAGGCGCGAAAGCGUGGGGAGCAAACAGG
rnacentral:rRNA from 1 species